rnacentral:rRNA from 1 species
AGUGAACGCUGGCGGUAGGCCUAACACAUGCAAGUCGAACGGCAGCACAGUAAGAGCUUGCUCUUACGGGUGGCGAGUGGCGGACGAGUGAGGAAUACAUCGGAAUCUACUUUUUCGUGGGGGAUAACGUAGGGAAACUUACGCUAAUACCGCAUACGACCUACGGGUGAAAGCAGGGGAUCUUCGGACCUUGCGCGAUUGAAUGAGCCGAUGUCGGAUUAGCUAGUUGGCGGGGUAAAGGCCCACCAAGGCGACGAUCCGUAGCUGGUCUGAGAGGAUGAUCAGCCACACUGGAACUGAGACACGGUCCAGACUCCUACGGGAGGCAGCAGUGGGGAAUAUUGGACAAUGGGCGCAAUCCUGAUCCAGCCAUACCGCGUGGGUGAAGAAGGCCUUCGGGUUGUAAAGCCCUUUUGUUGGGAAAGAAAAGCAGCAGGUUAAUACCCCGCUGUUCUGACGUUACCCAAAGAAUAAGCACCGGCUAACUUCGUG